rnacentral:lncRNA from 1 species
GCAGAAGCCAGGCUGGGAAACCCUUUCUGCUAGGAAACCCCAGAGAGAAUGGUGCCGGGGGAUCGGGGACAGGACCCUGAAGAUCCUGUAGCAUCUAACAGUGCCCUGAGCUGAAACGGACCAGAUGCUCACUCUCCGAAAGGUUCCCAAAGCUCUUAAGGUUCUGCCAUCCCCCCAC